UCAAAGGCUCUUCUUAGAGCCACCCACUUUAUCUUAAAAAGAACCU
rfam:Loxodonta africana unplaced genomic scaffold scaffold_44, whole genome shotgun sequence.